rnacentral:rRNA from 1 species
AGCGAACGCUGGCGGCAGGCCUAACACAUGCAAGUCGAACGAACCCUUAGGGGUUAGUGGCGGACGGGUGAGUAACACGUGGGAACGUGCCUUUAGGUUCGGAAUAACCCAGGGAAACUUGUGCUAAUACCGAAUGUGCCCUUCGGGGGAAAGAUUUAUCGCCUUUAGAGCGGCCCGCGUCUGAUUAGCUAGUUGGUGAGGUAAUGGCUCACCAAGGCUACGAUCAGUAGCUGGUCUGAGAGGAUGACCAGCCACAUUGGGACUGAGACACGGCCCAAACUCCUACGGGAGGCAGCAGUGGGGAAUCUUGCGCAAUGGGCGAAAGCCUGACGCAGCCAUGCCGCGUGGAUGAUGAAGGUCUUAGGAUUGUAAAAUCCUUUCACCGGUGAAGAUAAUGACUGUAGCCGGAGAAGAAGCCCCGGCUAACUUCGUGCCAGCAGCCGCCGUAAAAC